rnacentral:sRNA from 1 species
GCAUCACCCAUGCGGGGAAGGAUGAGAAGCUUCGACCAAGGUUCGACUCGAGCGCCAGCGAGAGAGCGUGGCCGCAGGCAACGACCCGAAGGGCGAAGCGCGCAGCGCUGAGUAAUCCUUCCCCCACCACCA